rnacentral:rRNA from 1 species
CCUACGGGUGACAGCAGUCGAGAAUCAUUCACAAUGGGGGAAACCCUGAUGGGGCGACGCCGCGUGGGGGAAUGAAGGUCUGCGGAUUGUAAACCCCUGUCAUGUGGGAGCAAAUUAAAAAGAUAGUACCACAAGAGGAAGAGACGGCUAACUCUGUGCCAGCAGCCGCGGUAAUACAGAGGUCUCAAGCGUUGGUCGGAAUCACUGGGCGUAAAGGGUGCGUAGGCUGUUUCGUAAGUCGUGUGUGAAAGGCGCGGGCUCAACCCGCGGACGGCACAUGAUACUGCGAGACUAGAGUAAUGGAGGGGGAACCGGAAUUCUCGGUGUAGCAGUGAAAUGCGUAGAUAUCGAGAGGAACACUCGUGGCGAAGGCGGGUUCCUGGACAUUAACUGACGCUGAGGCACGAAGGCCAGGGGAGCGAAAGGGAUUAGAUACCCUGGUAGUC